GUUACCUUCGUUCGUCAAUCUCUGUCUCGUGUCGUGUGUGUCUCUAGCCUCUAGGGUUAAUUUUCCCUUCUUCAACCUCUGUCAACGAACAAGUUCUUUUUCCACACUCUUCGUCUAGGGUUAAUUCCCUUCAAUUUACAUUCAAAGUUUCAAGAAAGAAAGAACAACGACCACUAAUCUCUUCGUUUAGGGUUAAAAUUAUCUUUGUAAUCUCUUCUCUCGUUCAUCAAUUCUGUUCGAUUCAGUUUCCUAUUUGGGAAUUUUUGAGAAAAACCAGAAUUCGAAUCAAAAGAAGGAAGAAAUUUGUUCGAAAUUACUUUUACGGUUGCUGUCUUCUCGGUAUCUCUCAGGGUUCGACAUUCACUAAUCCACUUGACGAAAAAAUGCAACUCUGUGAAGAAUGUGGAUUUGGACCUUCCUUUCAAUAUGUCAAAGAAAACAAAGGAUUUGACUCUCGGGUGGUCAACUCCUAUGUAAAACAUGUGCUAGGAAUCUUGGAAGCAGUGAUUAUUUCUGCCCUGCAUGUGAAGUGAAGUUUAAUUUUGAAUUAUCUGAUUCUGAAAAAUCACAUACAAAAAAGUCAAAUGGAACAAAAACAAUGGGCAGUUAGUACUUCCAAAGAAGGUCACUGUUCUCUGCAAUGGUGUCUAAGGAAUAUAUUUUCCAAGACUUCACUUGUAAGCAUAAACUCCUUCAGAUGCAUCUACUGAUGUUAUUGCCAAUGUUGCACUUUUGCCACAUGAGGGUGUGAAGGUGAUGGGCUCCAAAAUUUGUCAAGUCUGCAAGAACCUUGUGUUGACAUAGAAGAGAGGGUGUGAAAGGCAUAAGUUACUUGGAAAAAUUUGCAUAGAAAGAAGCGCAGAUAGUUGGAAGCAGAUAGAGAGAUGUUGGAGGAUGACGAGCAAGAUGACAAACCAAAAGGUGAGGGGACAGAUAAGAAUGAAAAGGCUGGAUUGACACAUGCUGAUCUUGCUUACCGACCUGCAAACGCAGGAAAGGCCACCACCAAGAGGGCACUAGACUCUGACAAGAUUUUGAAGAAGCCUCAAAAGAAAUUUAAUAAAUCUAAUCCUUUGCGAAAGCCUUCCUCUUCAAGGACAGAAGAAAUGCGGAGCUAUUCCAGAUGAAGGAUAAAAAGCCAUAAUAGAGAGGUUCUGGAACAGGAAAGAAGGCGAAGAAGUCAUUCAAAAGCAAGUCACGGUAUCAAUUAAAAAAUCUAUCUCAUUUUUUAAACUCUUAUCUGAUCCUUUUAGUCAUCGAUAAAGAUAUUAAUUUCGUUCUUGAUCAACUCAUAAAAAUGUCUUUUGUUUCUGUUAUGUGAUUGAUGUGAGGCUUUCUAGAGGGGAACAUAACAAAUAAUGAUAUAAUCCUUUUCAUGAUCUUGGUGCUAAAAAAAAGGUCUAAACAUUUUUACUUAAUAUCCACCCUAACUCUCCCAGGUAUUUAUGUGCCUAUAGUAACUAUGAUGUUCAUAGUUGUAGUUUCCAUGUGUUUUGGGUUUUAUUUUUGUCUGUCCCCAUAUACUACCUAGGAGAUGCUGCUUUGUUUUCCAACUUUACCCUUUUAUCAAAAUUCAAAUACUUUCAUACCCCUCCAAUCAAAACAACAUCUCGCAUAACAUAUUAACCUCUAGGCAGCGAUUUCCUUUCCUUUAUUUCUCCAAUUCUCUAACUGCUAUUUUCUUCUUAUUUUCUCGAAAUUUCGGUUGCUGAAAAUUUAGAAAGAUGAGACUUCAAUUUGAAGGAAUUUUGAGAGGAAGAGAGGGAUCGAAAGAGGGUGACUUGAGAUUUGAAAGAGGUGAUCUGAGAUACUACAUUUUACGUUGAGAAUCAUCUAAUUCCCAUUAUAUUUUUAUUUUUUUCCAUUUUCAGUGUGGAAAAUUGACAUAAUUUCUAUUGCAUUUCAAUCUUCUAACUUUAAUUUGUUUUCAUUUUCUCCAGAAAAGUGGUUUUGUUUAGCAAUCACAAGUUUCAUAACACUGGCAGGGUUGCAAAGCAGCUCUCUUGUAAUUUUUGUAAUGCCAAUAUUUUUUUUCAGUAAAUUUUCUCUUUGUUGUCUAUGGUUUUGUUCUCAAAUUGAGAACCCAAAAUUUGCACUACUCACUAACUCACGUUGUUUUGCAUAUUAUGUUGUGCAAUACUUUUGAUAUAUUCAAAGUUCAUCUAUUUUCAUAUCAUCCUCUCUACCUCUUUUGUUUUUUUAUCUAAAUCUUUUUAAAUCACAAUACUUUGAUUUUUGUUUGUUUACAAUGUUUGAUCUACUUCUACUAUAUUUUAAACGUAUAGCUUUUGUCUUUUCUAUGAUCACUUUCGCUUGCAAGUUAUUAUCUUUCACCUUGGAGUGAGACUACAUUGAUUAGAAUUUAGAACCUACCAUUUUUUAUUUUCUAAAAUCAACAUUGCAUUGUAGUCUUGGAAAAGUGAAAAUAAUGAAUCUGAAGAAUGCUUUGCUUUUGUUAAGGUAAUAUAGGUUUCCAUUACCUCUGUUUCAGGCUUGAUUUUUAUUUAAACUGACAAUGUUUGAUUCGAAAAUGAUGCUUCUACUCUUAAACUAAAAUGUUUUCCUUUUAAUUAGUCUGUGUUGUUUAAUGUUACUGGAGAUUUUAUUGUGUGAAUCGACUUAUAUUAGAGAUAUCCAAAUAUUAGUCCCUAAAAUUAAUCAUUGUAUUUUUUAUUUUGCAUGGGCAUGCUGUAAACUAAAUGACGAUCGUCUGUUGGCAGUUGACAUAGAAGAGAGGGUGUGAAAGGCACAAGUUACUUGGAAAAAUUUGCAUAGAAAGAAGCGCAGAAAGUUGGAAGCAGAUAGAGAGAUGUUGGAGGAUGCCGAGCAAGAUGACAAACCAAAAGGUGAGGGGACGGAUAAAAAUGAAAAGGCUGGAUUGACACAUGCUGAUCUUGCUUACCGACCUGCAAACGCAGGAAAGGCCACCACCAAGAGGGCACUAGACUCUGACAAGAUUUUGAAGAAGCCUCAAAAGAAAUCUAAUAAAUCUAAUCCUUUGCGAAAGCCUUCCUCUUCAAGGACAGAAGAAAUGCGGGAGCUAUUCCAGACGAAGGAUAAAAAGCCAUAAUAGAGAGGUUCUGGAACAGGAAAGAAGGCGAAGAAGUCAUUCAAAAGCAAGUCACGGUAUCAAUUAAAAAACAUAUCUCAUUUUUUAAACUCUUAUCUGAUCCUUUUAGUCAUCGAUAAAGAUAUUAAUUUCGUUCUUGAUCAACUCAUAAAAAUGUCUUUUGUUUCUGUUAUGUGAUUGAUGUGAGGCUUUCUAGAGGGGAACUUAACAAAUAAUAAUAUAAUCCUUUUCAUGAUCUUGGUGCUAAAAAAAAGGUCUAAACAUUUUUACUUAAUAUCCACCAUAACUCUCCCAGGUAUUUAUGUGCCUAUAGUAACUAUGUUGUUCAUAGUUGUAGUUUCCAUGUGUUUUGGGUUUUAUUUUUGUCUAUCCCCAUAUACUACCUAGGAGAUGCUGCUUUGUUUUCCAACUUUACCCUUUUAUCAAAAUUCAAAUACUUUCAUACCCCUCCAAUCAAAACAACAUCUCGCAUAACAUAUUAAUCUCUAGGCAGCGAUUUCCUUUCCUUUAUUUCUCCAAUUCUCUAAAUGCUAUUUUCUUCUUAUUUUCUCGAAAUUUCGGUUGCUGAAUAUUUAGAAAGAUGAGACUUCAAUUUGAAGGAAUUUUGAGAGGAAGAGAGGGAUCGAAAGAGGUUGACUUGGAUUUGAAAGAGGUGAUCUGAGAUACUACAUUUUACGGUGAGAAUCAUCUAAUUCCCAUUAUUUUUUUAUUUUUUUUCCAUUUUCAGUGUGGAAAAUUGACAUAAUUUCUAUUGCAUUUCAAUCUUCUAACUUUACUUUGUUUUCAUUUUUUUCAGAAAAGUGGUUUUGUUUAUCAAUCACAAGUUUCAUAAAACUGGCAGGGUUGCAAAGCAGCUCUCUUGUAAUUUUUAAAGAGACUUCUCAGGUAUUUCCACUUCUCUGGUUCUUGCUUAUUUUUCUUCAUCUGGCACUGGCAUAUCUGAGUUAUGACCCAAACUUUACUGACAACUUGGAGGAGGAUAUUGAUGAUGAAGGUCAUGAAGAGGAGGAGGAUGAGUAUGUGGCUAUGUGGUUCACUUAAUUGCCUGUAUGGUAUUCAUAUUUGCACAAUAUUUUUCUUGUUUAUAAUGUCAUAUAUGCAAUAUUAUUUUCCAGCGAGAGUGCAAAUGAAUAUACAGAUGAUGAAGAUGCCAGCUGGAAAGUUAUGUAACCUAUGUCAUUAUGUAACCUAUAUCAUACCUCAGAUUUUCCAUGUUUUCCAGAA